AUUCAGCACCCCUUGCCUUGUCAUCACUUGCUCCCAUUUGGCUUUGUGUGCCCGGCUGUGGAAAGAGGCAAAGUGAGGUUUGUUCUUGAGCUGGAAAAUGGAAUUUCUUUUAUUUGUACAAAGUCUCUUGGCUCUCUCCCAGACUUCUCCUGGCAACAGAGUCAACCAAAUUAAUUUUUUCCAAGAAAAGAUCUACUAUGGUGUGAUGGCAGAUUAAAUCCAUAACAGGAAACAGUGAUAAUGCCCACUGUAGAGCCAUCUGGUGUAUAGGUCCCUAAGAAUGGUACAACUGAAAUGGGAGAAUGAAGAAAUGUAUUGGCUAUGACAAGAAGAAGUAAUUGCUUUUCCUCAAAGGAUCAGAUGUGGUAUAGUUGUUUGAAAAACAAUCUAAACAACAUUUUGUUCACCAUUGAUUUUAAAAGCAUUAAAAUUAGUUUUUAUGCAGCUAUACUCAUUAAGCUUUUAUGUAUACUGUGUAGGGUGAAUAGUUAAGAAGCAAUAAAGCAUUCUGCAGUAAAAUAUACUUUGCCAGUUGUCAGAAGAAAUAAAAUACAUAGAUUGAGAAUGUUUGCUUCCUGUAGAAUAUUGCGAUAUUUGCCAUGUUAAUUACAAUCCAAAUAAAGCCAUUUUAUUUGUGUAUUUUAAACAGUCUUGUAGCUGUAGAUGGCUAAUACAACUGUUAUUGAAAGUGUUGUGUUUGGGGGUUGUGUGUUCAUACUGAUGAGAAACAAUCAGCAGCUACAUAUAUCCCAACAAUUCUUGCAUUCUAAAAAUGUCUUCUCUUAGAAAUUGGUGUUCCAAAGUCUAAUUGUAAAUUUUAGCCUCAAAAAGAACAGAAAGUGCCAUGCUGUGCAAUUUUUUUUCUAUAAUCCCUUUAAUUCCUCAUGUCAGUAUCUGCAUUCAUACACAAAGUAGUUCCCCUAAUUUCACUGAAGUAGUUAACAAUUUAUUAAAAAAAGAGAUACUCUGGAAAACAGCAACAGCCCAAGGAAAGGAAACUUAUUUGGUUAUUACUUGGAAGAGCAUAACCUUUUAUUUUGUUUCUCAAAAAUGAAGAGAGGAGUAUAUGUACAGUACAACAACAUGCCAUCAGAGAGAAUAAUGCAUAUAAAAAUGAAUUCCUGUUAUUGUGUUCAGGUGUGUUUGUGAAUAAAAAAUGGAAUUUUGAAAAGUCAAUUAAAAUGCAUUUAAAUUCUUUAACAUCAGAAUUCUUUAAUGUGAAAAUUUUUUCUAGACAGUUUGUCAGUAUCACUGUAAGCACAGUGCUGUGAUCAGAACUGGUCUCCCCCACCUACAACUGUUAGAUGGCUCAGAAAUGCAUUACACCUUCCUGUCUCAAAUGAGGAGACCACUCUUGAAAACAUGGAAGUACUUAUAAAGUAAAUAACCUUUAAUUAAAUAUCAUUGUCUAGCAUUAAUCUUUAUAGCUCUGUUCCCUAUGGAAAUAAAAGUGGAUAUUCAAUUUGUUUUGAUUAUGCAUGAAUUUUAACAGAAGUGUUUCUUUCUAUAUUGCUGUGUUCUUCAAGAAAGCUGCAUAUUUGUGUCUGCAUAAGCCAUUAAGAAGAUGGUUCCUCAUUAAUGUGAAAUAAGAGUGACUCAUUUCUGUUGUAUAUAAAUAGAUUGACAUUUAGAAAGAUUAAUUAUUAUUUUUAAGAA